GCAUAUACAAAGAGAAGCGACCUCGCGAGAGCAAGCGGACCUCAUAAAGUAUGUCGUAGUCCGGAUUGGAGUCUGCAACUCGACUCCAUGAAGUCGGAAUCGCUAGUAAUCGUAGAUCAGAAUGCUACGGUGAAUACGUUCCCGGGCCUUGUACACACCGCCCGUCACACCAUGGGAGUGGGUUGCAAAAGAAGUAGGUAGCUUAACCUUCGGGAGGGCGCUUACCACUUUGUGAUUCAUGACUGGGGUGAAGUCGUAACAAGGUAACCGUAGGGGGAACCUGCGGUUGGAUCACCUCCUUACCUUAAAGAA
rnacentral:rRNA from 1 species